AAAUAUGGGUUGUUUAUGGCUUCCCACAACACAUUAAAACGCGCGGACUGUGAAUGAAUGAGUUAUGGCCAGGUUAUGGCAUGUGUCAGGUUAAUCUGAACCUCGGGUGGAGAGCGGGACAGCAACGUUCUACGUGCGCUUACGGCAAUCCAAAAGACUGCCAAAAUCAACUGUCAAGAGAAACUCGUGCUUGCCUCACUUCAGUUUCCCCAGCGCCAGUGUGUGUCAGACUUCAGUUUAUGCAGAUGUGCUGCUGCUGAAGGCAGUCACCCGGUGGAGGAACUUGUUUUUUGACAGGCAUACUACAGAUGCUGUGCUGCGAACGGACACUGCAGUCACCUGUGGGAGGGGUCAAUCAAAUCGGAUCUCAAAAACAGAUGUCGCGAAUCUGAUCUGAUCUACCUACCUCUAUGUGGCAAUAGAGUACCUGCUUUUACUGGCCAGGGGACCAAGAUGAAAACAAGAGGCCUGUACCCAGACA